CAUUCGCGUUGAGCAACAACCAUAUCCAGGCUUCAUAUUCUCUAACAUUGUCUCCUAACUCUACCAGCCUCGCCCUAUUCAGAAAUCGCACAUCAUCGAGUGCUAGAUUCUGUUGGACCGGCUAUCUGUCCUCGAACUUCAAAAUCCAGCCGGUUGAUCAUCCUUUCCUUAGCUGCACAUAGCCAUUUUAUAUGCACUCCUCCUGGUGUUUCGAUUUUGACUUCUUGCUUGGGCCAACGAAGCAGCCGGAGGUAGGGCAGAAACGGACGUGAGAGAGGACUGGUGGGAUCCCCUUUUGAGAUACACUUCUACAAUCACUUAUUUUCAACAGAAUUGAAAGCUACUAGCUCAUAGUGCGUCAAUUAAAAUUCCUUAAAGAAUACAUUUUGCCAUGGGGAAAAGGUGCAGAAUAUCACACUUUAUAAGAAUGCCAUCAAUUCUUGAACAUUUCUAUAAUAGUUCCUGGGGAAUUUUUGAUUCCUGAAAUG
rnacentral:sRNA from 1 species